rnacentral:rRNA from 1 species
AUGGGCGCAAGCAUGAUCCAGCCAUACCGCGUGGGUGAAGAAGGCCUUCGGGUUGUAAAGCCCUUUUGUUGGGAAAGAAAUCCAGCUGGCUAAUACCCGGUUGGGAUGACGGUACCCAAAGAAUAAGCACCGGCUAACUUCGUGCCAGCAGCCGCGGUAAUACGAAGGGUGCAAGCGUUACUCGGAAUUACUGGGCGUAAAGCGUGCGUAGGUGGUCGUUUAAGUCCGUUGUGAAAGCCCUGGGCUCAACCUGGGAACUGCAGUGGAUACUGGACGACUAGAGUGUGGUAGAGGGUAGCGGAAUUCCUGGUGUAGCAGUGAAAUGCGUAGAGAUCAGGAGGAACAUCCAUGGCGAAGGCAGCUACCUGGACCAACACUGACACUGAGGCACGAAAGCGUGGGGAGCAAACAGGAUUAGAUACCCUGGUAGUCCACGCCCUAAACGAUGCGAACUGGAUGUUGGGUGCAAUUUGGCACGCAGUAUCGAAGCUAACGCGUUAAGUUCGCCGCCUGGGGAGUACGGUCGCAAGACUGAAACUCAAAGGAAUUGACGGC